rnacentral:rRNA from 1 species
CGUAGGGGGCUAGCGUUGUCCGGAAUCAUUGGGCGUAAAGCGCGUGUAGGCGGUCCGGUAAGUCCGCUGUGAAAGUCGGGGGCUCAACCCUCAGAUGCCGGUGGAUACUGUCGGGCUUGAGUACGGAAGAGGCGAGUGGAAUUCCUGGUGUAGCGGUGAAAUGCGCAGAUAUCAGGAGGAACACCAAUUGCGAAGGCAGCUCGCUGGGACGUUACUGACGCUGAGACGCGAAAGCGUGGGGAGCAAACAGGAUUAGAUACCCUGGUAGUCCACGCUGUAAACGAUGGGCACUAGGUGUGGGGGGUGUCGACUCCCUCCGUGCCGAAGCUAACGCAUUAAGUGCCCCGCCUGGGGAGUACGGCCGCAAGGCUAA